GAAAUAUCUCCUAAGACAAUUGACGCGAAAACAGACGAAAAAGUCAAAUCUCCUUUAGACGAAAAGGUCAAGUCUUCUUCAGACGAAAAGCUCAUGUCACCUCAUAAAUCUCCAUCUAAAGACGUAAUAUCUCUACCACCAAAACCGAAAUCUCCAACCACAGUUUCCAAAAGUCCCGAGCCCUCAGAAAUAGACACUGAUAUCAUUAAAAAGUCUCCUAGCGAGAUAAAAUCUCCUGUGGAAUCUAAACCUACAUCCCCAACUUUGCCAUCUAAGGUUGCUAAAU